rnacentral:rRNA from 1 species
UACGUAGGGGGCAAGCGUUGUCCGGAUUUAUUGGGCGUAAAGCGCUCGCAGGUGGUUCGUUGCGUCGUGCGUGAAAGACCCCGGCUCAACUGGGGAGGGUCGUGCGAUACGGGCGAACUGGAGGCCAGUAGGGGGAUGCGGAAUUCCACGUGUAGCGGUGAAAUGCGUAGAGAUGUGGAGGAACACCAGUGGCGAAGGCGACUCUUUGGUCUGUAACUGACGCUGAGGCGCGAAAGCGUGGGGAGCAAACAGG